rnacentral:rRNA from 1 species
UGCAUAUCAAAAAGCGGAGGAAAAGAAACCAACAGGGAUUGCCCUAGUAACGGCGAGUGAAGCGGCAACAGCUCAAAUUUGAAAUCUGGCUCUUUUAGAGUCCGAGUUGUAAUUUGCAGAGGGCGCUUUGGCUUUGGCAGCGGUCCAAGUUCCUUGGAACAGGACGUCACAGAGGGUGAGAAUCCCGUACGUGGUCGCUGGCUAUUGCCGUGUAAAGCCCCUUCGACGAGUCGAGUUGUUUGGGAAUGCAGCUCUAAAUGGGAGGUACAUUUCUUCUAAAGCUAAAUAUUGGCCAGAGACCGAUAGCGCACAAGUAGAGUGAUCGAAAGAUGAAAAGCACUUUGGAAAGAGAGUCAAACAGCACGUGAAAUUGUUGAAAGGGAAGCGCUUGCAGCCAGACUUGCUUACAGUUGCUCAUCCGGGUUUCUACCCGGUGCACUCUUCUGUAGGCAGGCCAGCAUCAGUUUGGGCGGUAGGAUAAAGGUCUCUGUCACGUACCUCCUUUCGGGGAGGCCUUAUAGGGGAGACGACAUACUACCAGCCUGGACUGAGGUCCGCGCAUCUG